GACGAACGCUGGCGGCGUGCUUAACACAUGCAAGUCGAACGAAGCGGCGAACGGGUGAGUAACGCGUAAUCAACCUGCCCUUCAGAGGGGGACAACAGUUGGAAACGACUGCUAAUACCACAUACUGAAGGAGGGGGUUGCGUCUGAUUAGCUAGUUGGGGGGGUAACGGCCCACCAAGGCGAUGAUCAGUAGGCGGUCUGAGAGGGUGAACGGCCACAUUGGGAAUGGGAAACGGCCCAGACUCCUACGGGAGGCAGCAGUGGGGAAACUUCCGAAAUGGACGAAAGUCUGGCGGAGCAACGCCGCGUGAGUGAUGACGGCCUUCGGGUUGGAAAGCUCUGUUAAUCGGGACGCGGUACCGGAAUAGAAAGCCACGGCUAACUACGUGCCAGCAGCCGCGGUAAUUC
rnacentral:rRNA from 1 species